rnacentral:rRNA from 1 species
UCUUGACGGUACCGACAGAAUAAGCACCGGCUAACUCUGUGCCAGCAGCCGCGGUAAUACAGAGGGUGCAAGCGUUAAUCGGAAUUACUGGGCGUAAAGCGCGCGUAGGUGGUUCGUUAAGUUGGAUGUGAAAUCCCCGGGCUCAACCUGGGAACUGCAUUCAAAACUGACGAGCUAGAGUAUGGUAUAGGGUGGU